UACGGGGGGGGCAAGCGUUGUUCGGAAUUACUGGGCGUAAAGGGCUCGUAGGUGGCCAACUAAGACAGACGUGAAAUCCCCAGGCUCAACUUGGGAACUGCGUCUGAUACUGGAUGGCUUGAAUCCGGGAGAGGGAUGCGGAAUUCCAGGUGUAGCGGUGAAAUGCGUAGAUAUCUGGAGGAACACCGGUGGCGAAGGCGGCAUCCUGGACCGGCAUUGACGCUGAUGAGCGAAAGCCAGGGGAGCAAACGGG
rnacentral:rRNA from 1 species